rnacentral:rRNA from 1 species
UACGGGGGGGGCAAGCGUUGUUCGGAAUUACUGGGCGUAAAGGGCGCGUAGGCGGCGUGGUAAGUCACUUGUGAAAUCUCUGAGCUUAACUCAGAACGGCCAAGUGAUACUGCUGUGCUCGAGUGUGGAAGGGGCAAUCGGAAUUCUUGGUGUAGCGGUGAAAUGCGUAGAUAUCAAGAGGAACACCUGAGGUGAAGACGGGUUGCUGGGCCAACACUGACGCUGAGGCGCGAAAGCCAGGGGAGCAAACGGG